CCUACGGGAGGCAGCAGUGAGGAAUAUUGGUCAAUGGUCGGGAGACUGAACCAGCCAAGCCGCGUGAGGGAGGAAGGUACAGAGUAUCGUAAACCUCUUUUGUCAGGGAACAAAGACUGGGACGCGUCCCCCGAUGAGUGUACCUGCAGAAAAAGCCUCGGCAAACUCCGUGCCAGCAGCCGCGGUAAUACGGAGGAUGCGAGCGUUAUCCGGAUUUAUUGGGUUUAAAGGGUGCGCAGGCGGGCUGUUAAGGCAGCGGUCAAAGCCCGGGGCUCAACCCCGGGCCGCCGUUGAAACUGGCAGUCUCGAGUUGGCGAGAAGUAUGCGGAAUGCGCGGUGUAGCGGUGAAAUGCAUAGAUAUCGCGCAGAACUCCGAUUGCGAAGGCAGCAUGCCGGCUCCAAACUGACGCUGAGGCACGAAAGCGUGGGUAUCGAACAGGAUUAGAUACCCUAGUAGUC
rnacentral:rRNA from 1 species